UUUAUAAUGCCUCUGGACAUCGAAUUUAAUGCUUUUUAAUGUCAUUAAGGUCUUAAUUUUCACUAAAUCUAUUUAAUGACUUUUGAUGCUUUUUAAUAAACUGCAGAAACCCUGUGGUUUAACUCCAACAAGCAGGUCC